rnacentral:lncRNA from 1 species
GUGAAACUGUUAGGGAGGUGUGGGCUAGAGUCCCUGAGAAUUAGCAAGAGCUUAAAGCCUGACUGCUUUUGGAAAUGUCUGAAGGUUGUGAGUUCUCAUGGCUUUUCUGAAGGUAAGAAUAUCUACCAUGCUUUCUUUGGGACAGAAGUAAUCAGUGGGCUUCAGCUGGCACUAAGAGAUUUCCCCAAAUCUGUGGUUUGUGUGCAUCCAAAUUGUUCUGUAUGAAAAAGGAUUGUAAUCACUCAAAAGAUCAGAUUUAGUGUCACUCAGAAGCAAAUAGACCUCUUUACCUCUGAAAUGCAAGAGCAGUUUUGAAAGUAUCUUAAUGGUAUUGCAAUGAAAUACGCUGCAAUUGAAGUAGAACAACUUGAGCUAAAAUGAAAGUUUUUGUUUCUUUGCCAAUAACUUAAGAUUCUUUUACUUGCUAAAGGUGUGUGCCAUGGUUAAGAUAUAGAUGAUGCUAUGAAAAGAUGAGAAGCUUGGUGCAUUUAAGACCUUCAUAAUUCAUGUCUCUCAGGAGUAGGCUCAGAAAUAGAAUAGAAAGCAUAUUGAAGACAGUUAAUUUCAGUGCUGUCAAAAAAUCUUGGGAUAGCAGUACUGAACAUUAAAGCAAUAGAUAUGAAAUGAACCCAAAACUUUAUUGGAAGCAACUGAAAUAGAUUGUAUUGUUUAGUGCUUUUUUCCUGUCGGAUGUUAUAACGAAUUCACUGUUAGAAUGUGGGUGCCUGGCAGUUAAACCUUCUGUAACUCUGACAGCUCCUUGGUGUCGCUGUUUCUGGCGUCCUCAAAUUCUGG